rnacentral:rRNA from 1 species
CCAGACUCCUACGGGAGGCAGCAGUGAGGAAGAAUGGUCAAUGGAAGGAAGGCUGAACAAGACAAGCCGCGUGAAGGACGAAGGUGCCAAGAAUUGUAAAAUUCUUUUGUCAAGGGAAAAAAUCAGGCUAGAGAGCCUGACCGAGGGUACUUGAAGAAAAAGCAUCGGCUAACUCCGUGCCAGCAGCCGCGGUAAUACGGAGGAUGCGAGCGUUAUCCGGAUUUAUUGGGUUUAAAGGGUGCGUAGGCGGACUGGAAAGUCAGCGGUAAAAUGAGGAGGCUCAACCUCGUGCCGCCGUUGAAACUGUCGGUCUUGAGUGGGCGAGAAGUAUGCGGAAUGCGUGGUGUAGCGGUGAAAUGCAUAGAUAUCACGCGGAACUCCGAUUGCGAAGGCAGCAUACCGGCGCCCAACUGACGCUGAAGCACGAAAGCGUGGGUAUCGAACAGGAUUAGAUACCCGGGUAAA